UAAAGCCGAGAGAGGAGACGGGAGAGAGACACCACACACACACGGCACAAGAUGGCCGGAGAGGCAGCAGCACCCCAAGCUGUCAGGCGCUCCGCCGCGGUCGCGGGGCUCGCCGGCCGGCGGGAAGCUGCGCCCAGGCGGCCCGCAGGCCCGCGGGAGCGAAGCGGCCGCGGCUGAGGCGAGAUGGGCCGCGCGCCGGUGUCGGAGCCCUUGGCAGAGGCUCCCGGGGCGGCCGGGCCCACGACGCCGAAAGCGCCGCUGCGGCAGCGGCCGGGGACGCUCCCCGGGGUCCCGGCGGCUCGACCUAGAGCGGGCGGGAGACUCGGGCGGGCGGCCCGGCGCGGAACGCGGGUGCGGGCGACCAGGAGGUGCCGACAGCCGCGCUUGGACCCGGUAACUUACAAGAUUAAAAUUAAAUUUGGUUGAUGAUGGUUCUGAACAAAUACAGCUCUUUUAUUUGAGGUAUGCCAUUUUGAAGACUGAGACCCAUGGAGUUUUAAUCCUUGAGUAUAAAGGAAAUGUUUGCAAAAGUCUCUAUUUUAUAUAGCAAAAAUGUGAAUCCAGAGACUGAAUUCUCUAAAGGGCCUGUACAACGUAGUAGAUGUUGGUGGAAGCAUUUACACCCAGUCAGCUUGAAGAGUCUCAAAUGGACCCUACCACUGAGAAAACAAGAUGGCAGUCCACUAUGGGGAAUUGAGGAAAAUGGAUUAAUACAAGAGUGCUGUGAUAAUAAACAACCAAGACAGGGUUCUUUUAACAUGGAUUUCAUGAAAUGAAGACAUAGGUUUCUUACCCAGCACAAAUGGACAGUGGAUUUGACUUUCUAAAGACUUUUUGUAUCACUAAAACAAGUACAUUUUUGACAUUUGGAGAAGAAAGAUGGCACAUUAACACAGAUGUUAGUUUGUAUGCCUGGAAGUUUUUGCAGUUUGACUUGUAUUAGUAUGAUUUUGUGGAAUGUUAACUUUAAUAAAAUUUCUAACACUUUAAAA